UACGUAGGGGGCAAGCGUUGUCCGGAAUCAUUGGGCGUAAAGAGCGUGUAGGCGGCUUGGCAAGUCUGGUGUGAAAUCUUGCGGCUCAACCGCAAGCGGUCACUGGAAACUGCCUCGCUAGAGUCCGGAAGAGGAGAGCGGAAUUCCUGGUGUAGCGGUGGAAUGCGCAGAUAUCAGGAGGAACACCGAUGGCGAAGGCAGGUCUCUGGGCCGAUACUGACGCUGAGGAGCGAAAGCGUGGGGAGCGAACAGG
rnacentral:rRNA from 1 species